GCAUGCCGCGUGAGUGAAGAAGGCCUUCGGGUUGUAAAGCUCUUUUGUCAGGGAAGAAACACCGGCUCUAACACAGUCCGGGAAUGACGGUACCUGAAGAAUAAGCACCGGCUAACUACGUGCCAGCAGCCGCGGUAAUACGUAGGGUGCGAGCGUUAAUCGGAAUUACUGGGCGUAAAGCGUGCGCAGGCGGUUAUACAAGACAGGCGUGAAAUCCCCGGGCUUAACCUGGGAAUGGCGCCUGUGACUGUAUAGCUAGAGUGUGUCAGAGGGGGGUAGAAUUCCACGUGUAGCAGUGAAAUGCGUAGAUAUGUGGAGGAAUACCAAUGGCGAAGGCAGCCCCCUGGGAUAACACUGACGCUCAUGCACGAAAGCGUGGGGAGCAAGCAGGAUUAGAUACCCUGGUAGUCCACGCCCUAAACGAUGCUGACUAGUUGUUCGGGAUUUACAUCCUGAGUAACGUAGCUAACGCGUGAAGUCAGCCGCCUGGGGAGUACGGUCGCAAGAUUAAAACUCAAAGGAAUUGACGGGGACCCGCACAAGCGGUGGAUGAUGUAGAUUAAUUCGAUGCAACGCGAAAAAGCUUACCUACCCUUGACAUGUCACUAACGAAGUAGAGAUAC
rnacentral:rRNA from 1 species